AGUAACGCGUGAGGAACCUGCCUUUCAGAGGGGGACAACAGUUGGAAACGACUGCUAAUACCGCAUAACACAUAGGUGUCGCAUGGCAUUUAUGUCAAAGAUUUAUCGCUGAAAGAUGGCCUCGCGUCUGAUUAGCUAGUUGGUGAGGUAACGGCUCACCAAGGCGACGAUCGGUAGCCGGACUGAGAGGUUGGCCGGCCACAUUGGGACUGAGAUACGGCCCAGACUCCUACGGGAGGCAGCAG
rnacentral:rRNA from 1 species